rnacentral:rRNA from 1 species
GUGGGGAAUAUUGGACAAUGGGCGCAAGCCUGAUCCAGCCAUGCCGCGUGAGUGAUGAAGGCCUUAGGGUUGUAAAGCUCUUUCACCGAUGAAGAUAAUGACGGUAGUCGGAGAAGAAGCCCCGGCUAACUUCGUGCCAGCAGCCGCGGUAAUACGAAGGGGGCUAGCGUUGUUCGGAUUUACUGGGCGUAAAGCGCACGUAGGCGGUUUGUUAAGUCAGGGGUGAAAUCCCGGAGCUCAACUCCGGAACUGCCUUUGAUACUGGCAAGCUAGAGUCCGGAAGAGGUAAGUGGAACUCCUAGUGUAGAGGUGGAAUUCGUAGAUAUUAGGAAGAACACCAGUGGCGAAGGCGGCUUACUGGUCCGGAACUGACGCUGAGGUGCGAAAGCGUGGGGAGCAAACAGGAUUAGAAACCCGUGUAGUCC